rnacentral:rRNA from 1 species
CUGGGGCUCAACCCCAGACCUGCAUCCGAUACGGUCGAGCUAGAGUUUGGUAAGGGAGACUGGAAUUCCUGGUGUAGCGGUGGAAUGCGCAGAUAUCAGGAGGAACACCAAUGGCGAAGGCAGGUCUCUGGGCCAAUACUGACACUGAGGAGCGAAAGCGUGGGGAGCGAACAGGAUUAGAUAACCUGGUAGUCCACGCCGUAAACGGUGGGCGCUAGUUGUGGGAACCUUCCACGGUUUCUGCGACGCAGCUAACGCAUUAAGCGCCCCGCCUGGGGAGUACGAUCGCAAGAUUAAAACUCAAAGGAAUUGACGGGGCCCCGCACAAGCAGCGGAGCAUGCGGCUUAAUUCGACGCAACGCGAAGAACCUUACCAAGGCUUGACAUAUACAGGAAAAUGGCAGAGAUGUCAUAGCGGUAAAACGUCUGUAUACAGGUGGUGCAUGGUUGUCGUCAGCUCGUGUCGUGAGAUGUUGGGUUAAGUCCCGCAACGAGCGCAACCCUCGUUCUGUGUUGCCAGCAUUUAGUUGGGGACUCACAGGAGACUGCCGGGGUUAACUCGGAGGAAGGUGGGGAUGACGUCAAAUCAUCAUGCCCCUUAUGUCUUGGGCUGCACGCAUGCUACAAUGGCUGGUACAAAGGGCUGCAAUACUGCAAAGUGGAGCGAAUCCCAAAAAGCCAGUCUCAGUUCGGAUUGGGGUCUGCAACUCGACCCCAUGA